rnacentral:rRNA from 1 species
AGGGGGAUAACAUCCGGAAACGGGUGCUAAUACCGCAUAGUUUUCUUGAUCGCAUGAUCGGGAAAGGAAAGACGGCCUUUGUGCUGUCGCUUAUGGAUGGACCCGCGGCGGUAUUAGGUUAGUUGGUGAGGUAACGGCUCACCAAGACGGAUGAUACGUAGCCGACCUGAGAGGGUGAUCGGCCACAUUGGGACUGAGACACGGCCCAAACUCCUACGGGAGGCAGCAGUAGGGAAUCUUCCGCAAUGGACGAAAGUCUGACGGAGCAACGCCGCGUGAGUGAAAGAAGGUUUUCGGAUCGUAAAACUCUGUUGUCAGAGAAGAACAAGUUGGAGAGUAACUGCUCCAGCCUUGACGGUAUCUGACCAGAAAGCCACGGCUAACUACGUGCCAGCCGCCGC